UUAGCCCUAAACCCAGAUAAUUUUUUAAACAAAAUUAUUCGCCAGAGUACUACUAGCAAUAGCCUGAAACUCAAAGGACUUGGCGGUGCUUCAUAUCCCUCUAGAGGAGCCUGUCCUAUAAACGAUAAACCCCGAUAGACCUUACCAACCCUAGCUAAUACAGCCUAUAUACCGCCAUCCUCAGCAAACCCUGAUAAAGGAAAUAUAGUAAGCAAGAUUGUUAAAAUACAAAAACGUUAGGUCAAGGUGUAGCUUAUGAGUUGGAAAGAGAUGGGCUACAUUUUCUCAAAACAGAAAAAAAAACGAACAUUCUUAUGAUACUAAGAGUUAAAGGAGGAUUUAGUAGUAAGCUAAGAAUAGAGAGCUUGGCUGAAUUAGGCCCUGAAGCACGC
rnacentral:rRNA from 1 species